GGACUAUUGAAGUGUUUGGAAUGCAAAUCAACUCGAAAUAUAAUAUUUCGUCCGAGAACUUCGAAUGCCUCUACCAGACGGCUAGGCUACGUGUAUUUUGCGGGGGGGGGAUUUUACGAACAACACUAUUCCACAUUAUUAUUAGACAUGAUAUUAUCAUUAGGGUUUUUCCAUUACGUUAUUAUCGAUUCGUUGGUGACUAUUACAACGAUUUACAACUAAACAUAAUAAAAUAAUGGUUCGGCGGAGCUGCUUCAUCACUUGUUCCAGACUUCCAGUGUUUCACAUGUUUUUAUGAAACCAUCAUCGCCAAAUCGCGAUAAUUAUAAUAUUUUUUGCGUAGAGCACACUCGGUACUCAGUAGUGUGUUCAAUAUCAGACACUAGAGUUGUACUGCUGUGUUAAAUAGUGUACAUAAAUAUAAUAAUAUUAUGAAUUAUGAUGUCUACGAAGCAAAUACGGAAGUAAGUUGAAAUAAUAAAUAAAAAAAAAGGAAAGACCGCCAAAGAAGUUCAUAAUUUGAUGAUAGUGAUUUUGAAGUUUAUCUAUAGGUAACACCUAUCCCCAAAAAAUUUUAAAAAAGAUGUACCAAUAACAUUUAUUAAAUUGCUGGUAAAGAGUUCUGACAAAGAAUUGGGUUAUAAACUAGCAUCUGUUACACUGCCAGUACAAAUUGCAGCUAGGUUCCUCAAUAUCAUCAUUCAUACUUAAUGGAGACGUAUACACAAGUAUAAUAUGAAAUAUCAUUAUAUCAAUUGGAACAUUUCUAUUUGAUGAGUAAUGACUUGUAUGACUUGAAAGAAUUGUCUUUACUCAACAACGGAUUAGUAUUAAUAAAAGUGCUACAAUGUAUAGGUGCAUUAUACAAUGAACCGUAAUGCGUAAGAGGUCACAAAAUGAAAUUAACACGUGAAGAAGCAUCUCUUGACAAGUGAAUGCAGAGAAAACAAAAUAAAAAAAAAUCAUAAGUUUAAGUAAAUAUUAAAACUAAAUUAAA